rnacentral:rRNA from 1 species
GACGAACGCUGGCGGCGUGCUUAACACAUGCAAGUCGAACGGAAAGGCGCUGCUCUUGUGGGGUGCUCGAGUGGCGAACGGGUGAGUAACACGUGAGUAACCUGCCCUUGACUUUGGGAUAACUUCAGGGAACUGGGGCUAAUACAGGAUAGGAGCUCCUGCUGCAUGGGGGGGGUUGGAAAGUGUCGGCGGUUGGGGAUGGACUGGCGGCUUAUCAGCUUGUUGGUGGGGUAGUGGCUUACGAAGGCUUUGACGGGUAGCCGGCCUGAGAGGGUGGCCGGCCACAUUGGGACUGAGAGACGGCGCAGACGCCUACGGGAGGCAGCAGUGGGGAAUAUUGCGCAGUGGGCGGAAGCCUGAUGCAGCAGCGCCGCGUGCGGGAUGACGGCCUUCGGGUUGUGAACCGCUUUCGCCUGUGACGAAGCGUGAGUGACGGUAAUGGGUAAAGAAGCACCGGCUAACUACGUG